UACAGAGGUCUCAAGCGUUGUUCGGAUCCAUUGGGCGUAAAGGGUGCGUAGGUGGCGAGGCAAGUCUGGUGUGAAAUCCCGGGGCUCAACCCCGGAACUGCACUGGAUACUGCUUUGCUAGAGUACUGGAGAGGAGAUUGGAAUUUACGGUGUAGCAGUGAAAUGCGUAGAUAUCGUAAGGAAGACCAGUGGCGAAGGCGAAUCUCUGGACAGUUACUGACACUGAGGCACGAAGGCCAGGGGAGCAAACGGG
rnacentral:rRNA from 1 species